GAGGAUGUUAGCUCAGUUGGUAGAGCGCCGCCACACCCGGCGGAGGUCAUCGGUUCGAGUCCGAUACAGCCCUCU
rnacentral:tRNA from 1 species